UACGGAGGGUGCGAGCGUUGUCCGGAAUCAUUGGGCGUAAAGAGCGCGUAGGCGGCCCGGUAAGUCCGCUGUAAAAGUCAAAGGCUCAACCUUUGAAUGUCAGUGGAUACUGCCGGGCUAGAGUCCGGAAGAGGCGAGUGGAACUCCUGGUGUAGCGGUGGAAUGCGCAGAUAUCAGGAAGAACACCGACGGCGAAGGCAGCUCGCUGGGACGGUACUGACGCUGAGGCGCGAAAGCGUGGGGAGCGAACAGG
rnacentral:rRNA from 1 species